rnacentral:rRNA from 1 species
UAAGGAAUAUUGGUCAAUGGACGCAAGUCUGAACCGGCCAUGCCGCGUGGAGGAUGAAGGUCCUCUGGAUUGUAAACUUCUUUUAUCUGGGACGAAACACUUCUUUUCUAAGAGGCCUGACGGUACCAGAUGAAUAAGCACCGGCUAACUCCGUGCCAGCAGCCGCGGUAAUACGGAGGGUGCAAGCGUUAUCCGGAUUCACUGGGUUUAAAGGGUGCGUAGGUGGGUAUGUAAGUCAGUGGUGAAAUCCCCGAGCUUAACUUGGGAACUGCCAUUGAUACUAUAUAUCUUGAAUACCGUAGAGGUGAGCGGAAUAUGUCAUGUAGCGGUGAAAUGCUUAGAUAUGACAUGGAACACCAAUUGCGAAGGCAGCUUACUAUGCGGUGAUUGACACUGAGGCACGAAAGCGUGGGUAGCA